ensembl:snoRNA small nucleolar RNA SNORD35
GGCAGACGAUGGCUUUUUCUCAUGAUGGUCUGUGGAUACCACUGUGGGCAGCGCCGAUAAUGCCAAUGGCUUAGCUGAUGCUGGGAG